UAAUUUGAUUAUUUAGAGCCUCGGUUCUAUAUAAACUUUUCCUUUUUAAAUAUGGACGUGGUUUUUAUGAUUCCAUGAAGAAAUAAGUCGACUCUUAAAAAUCUAUUUUUGAGAUGCAUUUUUUAAUCCAAUUUUUAAGGAUAUGUAAUCUCUAACAUGGAGAUCAUGAAUAAAUUAAAUAAAUAAAUUUUAAAAAAUAAAAAUAAUAAUUUAAUAAAGAAAAAAUUUGGACUGUCAGCUUCAAUUGUUUUAAGAUGAACCACCUAUUUGCAUCCAUCUCUAAGAUGGAUUAAAGAUGUAUGCUUUAUACCUUGAGGCCGUAUGACGUAGAAAUAUGGUCCAGCCCGCAUGAAACAAUUUUCCUUUAAAUAUUGGCAAGCACAAUGAG
rnacentral:lncRNA from 1 species